rnacentral:rRNA from 1 species
UACAGAGGGUGCGAGCGUUGUUCGGAAUUAUUGGGCGUAAAGGGCGCGUAGGCGGCUGAACAAGUCAAAGGUGAAAUCCCUCGGCUCAACUGAGGAACUGCCUUUGAAACUGUUCGGCUUGAGGCCGGGAGGGGGUAGCGGAAUUCCCAGUGUAGCGGUGAAAUGCGUAGAUAUUGGGAGGAACACCAGUGGCGAAGGCGGCAUCCUGGACCGGCAUUGACGCUGAGGCACGAAAGCAUGGGGAGCAAACAGG